rnacentral:lncRNA from 1 species
UUCGCUAGAAGUGCCUCGAUCCUUCCUUCAGUGAUGAAUCAAUUGGUGGCCAGCUGGAGGACAACCCAAAUCCCUUAUUCCCUUCCUACUUGAAACAGCGAUAAAACACCUACAGAAGACGGGCAUUAGCCAUCUUUCCACGGCAGAUGGCUAGCCUAAGUAUAACCUUUCUGGGACUUUGAGGUGCUUUUCUGUCUUACUUAGAAGUCAUUCCUAUUCUAAUUAAGUUCGGCACUCCGCUGAUAACUUGAUUUUAUAGUGUUCGCCUUUAGAUUAGAAUUGAAGUUGCGCCUUUAGUAUUUCAGUAGGGGGCUCUACGACCGACUAGUUGGAUCAGCUUCUCUCACCCUUGCUUGACACACGCUCGUCCCAUGCGAACGCUUUAGCUACUAAAGCACAGCAUGUAGCUGGCUUUUUGAUUCGUGGGUGACAGUUAGUAUCUCAACCAACCGUGUUGUUAUCUUAGUAAAAUGACUUGAGAACCAAGCCAAGUCUUGUCAAAGCCCUCGUUGUUGAGGGCUUU